rnacentral:lncRNA from 10 species
AAGCACUGAGGAUACACAGAUGAGAAAGCCUAGUGAUAGCCUCAGCAAGUAUAGGGUUUUUGUGAAAAGAUAUCAAAUAUAUAACUACAAUACAAUAAUAGAGACCUUAAUGGAGGUAUGUGCUAGGCACUGGGAGCUUGGUGGAGUGAAUACCUAGUUCCUGGCUGGCUGAGAGGAAAUGGGUACAUUCUCUGAGAGGAAGUAAAGUUCAUCUGUGAAUUAAAGGCAAACCAGGGAUUUGCUAGAUGACCUUAAGAAGACAGGAAGAUAGUACCUGAAAAUGCUUAAAAUCACUAAAGAACAAGAUGUGCUCAGUGAAAAGAUGACUCUACUGCCAUUUACUAAGGAUGCCAGAAGAGGUUUCCUGAGGAAGAAACAAUCAAUGUGAAUUAAUACCAUCCUGACAUUCAGGAGACCCAAAUAAAACAUGACUAUGUUUAAAAGAACGGAA